CACUCAGCUUUCUGAAAUGGUGUCCCACCGCAAGGACUGGAGAAGGGACUUUACUGAAGACUCUAAGGAGGACCUGUAUCUGUUGGGAUCCUCAGGGCAAGCCACAGAAACAAGCUUUGGAUACUAGAAGCAGAAAAUGGAGAUAUUGAAGACUAUUGUGGAGUUUACUGUGAGCCAGAGAACCAGGCUGGGGGGCUGUAUCACUUAGAAUGAGAUCCAAACUCACACCAUAGUUCCAUCCUUGAGGUUGCCAUGUUGCUGCCACCCCUCCUGCCACCCCACCACUGAAGCUUUGGAUGCUGGAUUCUGGGCACAGCAGGGAGAAGUGUUGCUUAUUACCAUUUUAGUAUGUUUUCUUUCAAGACCUUUUCAAAAUAUACAUACGUAUUUUUAUUUCUAUUCAAAAUGGGAUACAUUUUUGAAGGUUAGCAAUAUAUUGUGAACAUUUUCUUUCCAUGCUCAGAAACAUUUUUCUAUAAUGUAAUUUAUAGUGAUAUAAACUAUCUCAUAGACCUACCAUAGUUUACCUAACAAAUCCCAAAUCAUUUGUGCCAUUUCUAAAUUUUUAUUAUUUUAUGUAAUGCUUUAAUGAACAUCCUUGCAUUUAUAUUUUAUACAAUUUUAGAAGUGGAAUUACUGGUUCAAAAUACAUGGUGAUUUUUAAUUCUU
rnacentral:lncRNA from 1 species